UACGUAGGGGCAAGCGUUGUCCGGAUUUAUUGGGCGUAAAGAGCGUGUAGGCGCCAGACAGGUCCGUUGUGAAAACUCGAGGCUCAACCUCGAGACGCCGAUGGAAACCGUCUGGCUAGAGUCCGGAAGAGGAGAGUGGAAUUCCUGGUGUAGCGGUGAAAUGCGCAGAUAUCAGGAGGAACACCGGUGGCGAAGGCGGAUCUCUGGAACGCAACUGACGCUGAGACGCGAAAGCGUGGGGAGCAAACAGG
rnacentral:rRNA from 1 species